CAGCCGCCGCGGGUAAUACGGAGGGUGCAAGCGUUAAUCGGAAUUACUGGGCGUAAAGCGCACGCAGGCGGUCUGACAAGUCAGAUGUGAAAUCCCCGGGCUUAACCUGGGAACUGCAUUUGAAACUGUCAGGCUGGAGUCUUGUAGAGGGGGGUAGAAUUCCAGGUGUAGCGGUGAAAUGCGUAGAGAUCUGGAGGAAUACCGGUGGCGAAGGCGGCCCCCUGGACAAAGACUGACGCUCAGGUGCGAAAGCGUGGGGAGCAAACAGGAUUAGAUACCCCUGUAGUCCCUGUCUCUUAUA
rnacentral:rRNA from 1 species